rnacentral:misc_RNA from 1 species
UUUUUUUUUUUUUAAAAAAAAAAAAUUAAGUGAUCUCUAACAACACUGCAUUUUCUCAAGAAUGUCCAUUGAAAUUCCUAGAAAAGAAAAAGAGAUCAAAUGAUGCCUGAUUAGUGUGCUCUAUUGGCAUGUAAUGUACUCAUCAGAAGAAUAUGUAGCCAAAUAUGGUACCAUGUCAACUACACAAAAAAGAGGUACAUAAAACUAACAAUAUCACAUGGGACACAGAAAAAAAAAAAGGGGAAAGUCACAUUUCU